GUGGGGAAUAUUCCGCAAUGGACGAAAGUCUGACGGAGCAACGCCGCGUGAGUGAUGAAGGUUUUCGGACUGUAAAGCUCUGUUGUUUAGGACGAAAGUGCCUGUUGCAAAUAGUUACAGGUAUUGACGGUACUGAACGAGGAAGCCACGGCUAACUACGUGCCAGCAGCCGCGGUAAUACGUAGGUGGCAAGCGUUGUCCGGAAUUAUUGGGCGUAAAGAGCAUGUAGGCGGGAAUCUAAGUCUGUUGUGAAAAUGCGGGGCUCAACCCCGUAUUGCGAUGGAAACUGGGUUUCUUGAGUGCAGGAGAGGAAAGGGGAAUUCCCAGUGUAGCGGUGAAAUGCGUAGAUAUUGGGAGGAACACCAGUGGCGAAGGCGCCUUUCUGGACUGUGUCUGACGCUGAGAUGCGAAAGCCAGGGUAGCGAACGGGAUUAGAAACCCUUGUAGUCC
rnacentral:rRNA from 1 species